rnacentral:lncRNA from 1 species
CCCGUGACCACGCCCUGUUGCUGGUGAAGGUGGGUUUGCGCGUGCCGCGAGGUGGACAGCCUUGGUUGGGUUGCGUUUGGACUCCCAGAUGGGGAAGCGCCUGGGCGGGAUCCAGCAUCCCUGAGCGCGUGGCGCUUUGGUAGCCAGUUGCUUCCUGGCGGGCGGGCUUUCGCGAAUGCCUGGCACUUCUGCUGGGCCCCGCGUGCUGCUCUGGGCUGGCCUGAGAGCCAAGCCUCCUCUGCACUGGGCUGCCCCAGGUAGACCGCGGGAACAACACAAUUGAGGCGUGGCAGAGCGUCUCGGCGGUGUCUCGCUUCAUUCAUUCAAGAUCAAGUUGCUGAUUUUAGGGUUAUUAGGUCGGAUUGAUAGUCAAUUAUUUUUAUGUCUCCGGGCUAGGAAGCUGUAAACAAAAGCAAAAGGAAGUUUGAUGAAGGAAUUCUUAUCUUUGUAGAUAAGAAUAACACGAGUGCUCUUGUUCUUGGAAGGACUUUGAAAUCAGCAUUCCCUCCUUGGUCCCUGACUCAUUCAGAGUUAUGAAUUUUAAAAUGCAGCCAGUGAAAGUGGGAAGAGCACUGAACUUGGAGUCAGAAGAGCCUUUCAAGUUAUUCCCAGUGACAAAAAUCCAUCUUCCUCCCAUGAGACUCAGUUUGCCUAUCUGUGGGGUGAGGUUAGGCUUAAGAUGUGCUAAACAACACACUAAGGGUUCUUGCUGCCAUCUGCGGUUGUCUCUUUAUGGGACAGUGCCUUCUUCACUUACCUACAUCCACAUAGAUGCCAUCUUCAUGACAUGAAACUUUCUUGGGAGAAGCUAUGCUUCUGCCCAGUGUUAAUGAGUUUACGUUGAUUUAUUCUACACCUUAUUAACUAAUAAAGUUUACAAAGUAAUUUGGACUAGAUAGAUGAACUCCCAAGUUUACUGUGAAAUUUUAUUAAUCCUGAAGUAUUUAAAUUUUUAUGUAAUAAAGGAAAAACCUUAUAUAACCAAA